GCCUGAUGCAGCAACGCCGCGUGAGGGACGACGGCCUUUCGGGUUGUAAACCUCUUUUAGUAGGGAAGAAGCGAAAGUGACGGUACCUGCAGAAAAAGCACCGGCUAACUACGUGCCAGCAGCCGCGGUAAUACGUAGGGUGCAAGCGUUGUCCGGAAUUAUUGGGCGUAAAGAGCUCGUAGGCGGUUUGUCGCGUCUGCUGUGAAAACUGGAGGCUCAACCUCCAGCCUGCAGUGGGUACGGGCAAACUAGAGUGCGGUAGGGGAGAUUGGAAUUCCUGGUGUAGCGGUGGAAUGCGCAGAUAUCAGGAGGAACACCGAUGGCGAAGGCAGAUCUCUGGGCCGUAACUGACGCUGAGGAGCGAAAGCGUGGGGAGCGAACAGGAUUAGAUACCCUGGUAGUCCACGCCGUAAACGUUGGGAACUAGAUGUGGGGGCCAUUCCACGGCUUCCGUGUCGCAGCUAACGCAUUAAGUUCCCCGCCUGGGGAGUACGGCCGCAAGGCUAAAACUCAAAGGAAUUGACGGGGGCCCGCACAAGCGGCGGAGCAUGCGGAUUAAUUCGAUGCAACGCGAAGAACCUUACCAAGGCUUGACAUAUACGAGAACGCUGCAGAAAUGUAGAACUCUUUGGAC
rnacentral:rRNA from 1 species